CCACCUGUGGCGAAGGCGGUCUACCAGAACACGUUCGACCGGUGAGGGAUGAAAGCUGGGGGAGCAAACCGGANUAGAUACCCGGGUAGUCCCAGCUGUAAACCGAUGGCAGACUCGAUGAUGCAUNGGCAUAAUAGCCAGUGCAGUGUCGCAGGGAAGCCGUUAAGUCUGCCGCCUGGGAAGUACGUACGCAAGUAUGAAACUUAAAGGAAUUGGCGGGGGAGCACCACAAGGGGUGAAGCCUGCGGUUCAAUUGGAGUCAACGCCAGAAAUCUUACCCGGAGAGACAGCAGAAUGAAGGUCAAGCUGAAGACUUUACCAGACAAGCUGAGAGGUGGUGCAUGGCCGUCGCCAGCUCGUGCCGUGAGAUGUCCUGUUAAGUCAGGUAACGAGCGAGAUCCCUGCCACUAGUUGCUAUCAUUAUUCUCAGGAAUAGUGGGGCGAAUUAGUGGGACUGCCGUUGUUAAAACGGAGGAAGGAAGGGGCUACGGCAGGUCAGUAUGCCCCGAAACUCUGGGGCCACACGCGGGCUGCAAUGGUAGUGGCAAUGAGUUCCAAACUCGAAAGAGAGUGGCAAUCUCUAAACGCUACCACAGUUAUGACUGAGGGCUGUAACUCGCCCUCACGAAUAUGGAAUCCCUAGUAACCGCGUGUCAUUACCGCGCGGUGAAUACGUCCCUGCUCC
rnacentral:rRNA from 1 species